GAUGAACGCUGGCGGCGUGCUUAACACAUGCAAGUCGAACGGGAAAUAUUUCAUUGAGACUUCGGUGGAUUUGAUCUAUUUCUAGUGGCGGACGGGUGAGUAACGCGUGGGUAACCUGCCUUAUACAGGGGGAUAACAGUCGGAAAUGGCUGCUAAUACCGCAUAAGCGCACAGAGCUGCAUGGCUCAGUGUGAAAAACUCCGGUGGUAUAAGAUGGACCCGCGUUGGAUUAGCUUGUUGGUGGGGUAACGGCCCACCAAGGCGACGAUCCAUAGCCGGCCUGAGAGGGUGAACGGCCACAUUGGGACUGAGACACGGCCCAGACUCCUACGGGAGGCAGCAGUGGGGAAUAUUGCACAAUGGGGGAAACCCUGAUGCAGCGACGCCGCGUGAAGGAAGAAGUAUCUCGGUAUGUAAACUUCUAUCAGCAGGGAAGAUAGUGACGGUAC
rnacentral:rRNA from 1 species